GCCGGGCGUGGUGGCUCAUGCCUGUAAUCCCAGCACUCUGGGAGGCCGAGGUGGGUGGAUCACCUGAGGUCAGGAGUUCAAGACAAGCCUGGCCAACAUGGUGAAACCUCGCCUCUA
rnacentral:SRP_RNA from 2 species